rnacentral:lncRNA from 1 species
CUCAAAGGCUGUACAAAGACUUCAGAAUUACUGUACCAGUGAAGAGAUUUACACCGUUAUUUGAAGAGAGGGUGUGCUGGAAGAGAUGGGUCAAUGAGUUAGAACUGCUGUGUGGCACUGGGAGGCAUGGGAGGAAAUGGCAAGGGGAAACACAGGAAGCCUCAGCAGGAGGUGGACAAAUCUCAGCUCCUAAGUCCUACAGAAACCUCCUGUUUGUCCUUUCAUGUUGCAAAUAAGACUUUACCACAGAGCUCUGGAACCCUCUCCCUUGUUCCUUGGUGUUGACCUCCAGGAUCAGGAAAGGCAAAUGUUUCUGUAGCACCCUGAAGGCUCAAGAGAAGCUGCUUCACCCUUCUGUGGGCGUGCAAACACUGAUGUGCAUUGCCCAGCCUCUUCCCAGCUGAUCUUCCCUGAUUGCUGCUGGUUCCUGAUGCUGCUCCUGCACAGCUGGGAAAUGAAAAGCACUUCUACCAAACAAAUAAAUAAAUAAAUCUGCUAUGAGAUUUCCUCCUUCCUCUGCCUGCCAGCAUCUCUGAGGACAGCAAUCAUGUUAUAAACUCCAGAGGAGGAAGCACUUGGAAAUGAAGAACACUGCAUGACCUCACACUAAUCAGAAUUGCUGUUGCUGAAUUUGGUGCAUCUGUGGCAUUGUUAAUAAUAAAAGCAAGCGAUGGAUCUUGCCCUGGCAGCUCCCUUUCAUUCAUUCCUGGCUGAGCAAAUGAGCAAAUGAAAGGGGCAUCUUGCAGAAAUACAGUUAGCAGAAAGCAAUGUAAUGAACAAGCUUGUUUUGGAAACCAUGAAGUGCUAUCAUCCGUAAGAAUAAUUCUGAAUAAACUCUCUGAUAGCCUCAAGCCCAGCCUGUUCUUUGUGGACUUGUGGGUAAUUGCCACGGUGAAGAACAUGCAUAUAUUAAAUUACAGGGUGUAAAUCCUGACAGCUUUGGAGCUUUUUGAUACUUCUGAAGAUGUACAUGAAGAGCUGUCAUGCCUUUUCUGAAGGUAAGAAUAAUUACCAUGCUUUCUUUUGGAGUAAAGGGAGAACCAGUAAG